rnacentral:rRNA from 1 species
UCAUGAUGAACGCUAGCUACAGGCUUAACACAUGCAAGUCGAGGGGCAGCAUUUUAGUUUGCUUGCAAACUAAAGAUGGCGACCGGCGCACGGGUGAGUAACACGUAUCCAACCUGCCGAUAACUCGGGGAUAGCCUUUCGAAAGAAAGAUUAAUAUCCGAUAGUAUAUUAAAACCGCAUGGUUUUACUAUUAAAGAAUUUCGGUUAUCGAUGGGGAUGCGUUCCAUUAGUUUGUUGGCGGGGUAACGGCCCACCAAGACUACGAUGGAUAGGGGUUCUGAGAGGAAGGUCCCCCACAUUGGAACUGAGACACGGUCCAAACUCCUACGGGAGGCAGCAGUGAGGAAUAUUGGUCAAUGGACGAGAGUCUGAACCAGCCAAGUAGCGUGAAGGAUGACUGCCCUAUGGGUUGUAAACUUCUUUUAUAUGGGAAUAAAGUAUUCCACGUGUGGGAUUUUGUAUGUACCAUAUGAAUAAGGAUCGGCUAACUCCGUGCCAGCAGCCGCGGUAAUACGGAGGAUCCGAGCGUUAUCCGGAUUUAUUGGGUUUAAAGGGAGCGUAGGUGGAUUGUUAAGUCAGUUGUGAAAGUUUGCGGCUCAACCGUAAAAUUGCAGUUGAAACUGGCAGUCUUGAGUACAGUAGAGGUGGGCGGAAUUCGUGGUGUAGCGGUGAAAUGCUUAGAUAUCACGAAGAACUCCGACUGCGAAGGCAGCUCACUAGACUGCAACUGACACUGAUGCUCGAAAGUGUGGGUAUCAAACAGGAUUAGAUACCCUGGUAGUCCACACAGUAAACGAUGAAUACUCGCUGUUUGCGAUAUACAGUAAGCGGCCAAGCGAAAGCAUUAAGUAUUCCACCUGGGGAGUACGCCGGCAACGGUGAAACUCAAAGGAAUUGACGGGGGCCCGCACAAGCGGAGGAACAUGUGGUUUAAUUCGAUGAUACGCGAGGAACCUUACCCGGGCUUAAAUUGCAUUUGAAUAAUCUGGAAACAGGUUAGCCGCAAGGCAAAUGUGAAGGUGCUGCAUGGUUGUCGUCAGCUCGUGCCGUGAGGUGUCGGCUUAAGUGCCAUAACGAGCGCAACCCUUAUCUUUAGUUACUAACAGGUUAUGCUGAGGACUCUAGAGAGACUGCCGUCGUAAGAUGUGAGGAAGGUGGGGAUGACGUCAAAUCAGCACGGCCCUUACGUCCGGGGCUACACACGUGUUACAAUGGGGGGUACAGAAGGCAGCUACCUGGCGACAGGAUGCUAAUCCCAAAAACCUCUCUCAGUUCGGAUCGAAGUCUGCAACCCGACUUCGUGAAGCUGGAUUCGCUAGUAAUCGCGCAUCAGCCAUGGCGCGGUGAAUACGUUCCCGGGCCUUGUACACACCGCCCGUCAAGCCAUGAAAGCCGGGGGUACCUGAAGUACGUAACCGCAAGGAGCGUCCUAGGGUAAAACUGGUAA